rnacentral:rRNA from 1 species
GACGAACGCUGGCGGCGUGCCUAAUACAUGCAAGUCGAACGCAGUGGGGACGGGUGAGUAACACGUGGGUAACCUCCCAUCAGAGGGGAUAACACUUGGAAACAGGUGCUAAACCGAUACUGAUGGAUGGACACGCGGUGCAUUAGCUAGUUGGUGAGGUAACGGCUCACCAAGGCCACGAUGCAUAACCGAUCUGGGAGGGUGACUGCCAACACUGGGACUGAGACACGGCCCAGACUCCUACGGGAGGCAGCAGGAGGGAAUCUUCCGCAAUGGGCGCCAGCCUGACGGAGCAACGCCGCGUGAGUGAUGAAGGUCUUCGGAUCGUAAAACUCUGUUAUUAGGGAAGCGGGACCUAAUCAGAAAGCCACGGCUAAUUACGUGCCAGCAGCAGCGUAAUUC